UCUGGCAGCAAGGAAGUCUUGCCAAAUUCCUAAACACUUAUAUCACAAUAUAUACCUCCCAUUGGCCCACAUGGGCUCUAGCAGCCUGUGUCAACAGUGCAGAGAACAAGUCUCCAGGAACAAAAGUGCAGUUUUCCUCUGAGGACAGGAGGAGCCUCUUUUGAAGUCUCUUUUAUGGUGAAAUUAUCAAGACCCAUUGAACUGAACUUGAACAGAGUUUAAAGUGGGAUUUCUGACCAGUCCUUGCUUCUUCUUCCCAGAUGUUUCUCAUGCAAGAAGGGCUCAAGCACAGUGACAACAUCUGCUCUAAGGGCUUUUCAGUCGUGUUAAGGAGCAAGACUGAUCAGCAGCUGCAUGAGAAAUCCUCUUCAAGGAGAGUCACAGACAGUAAGCUCAGCAGGAGCAGAACUCCUUAAGGUGGUUACAUACACAGCUGGAUGAAAUGGACUCUGUUAGAACUGGACACUGUCCUAACACAACCUGUGAGCGCCAAAGCUCAGCAACAAGCCACUCUCUGCAGUCUCUCCCUGUAUCUGCAACUGUUCCUGUUGCACACAUUUGACACCUGUCUCUAGACAGUGGACGCUCCCCCAUCAAAAUACGUCUCCCCCCCAAAUGCCUCAAACCCAAGAACUUCACCAUGGAUCCAGCAAUAUCUCUACCUGAAAGCACCUUUCCCCCACCCCACCCUGCACCCCCCCCAGCAUUAAGCCCAACAGGCUGGACCUUAAUCUGAGAUAUUACUCAUAUCAAUUCUUUCAUACCAGCAGUAAAACUGCUGCUUAUAAGGCUCCACUUUAGCCAUUUGAGCUUUCUCAGACUUAUCUUUCACUUCUGUGUAUAGGAAACAGUAAAAAAAAAAACACAAAACUAUUGCAUUUACUUCUCCUUCCUGAUUUGCUGCAUUUAAAAGGAAGAAACAGUCCAAGGUUGGCCAACUGGAAACUUGCAGCAUGGCAGCUUCCAUUGCUUUCCUGCCUCCAGGAACACAGGAAUAAACCCAGACUUUCUUUUCCCCUGAUCUCCAGCUUCUGGCUCUGCAUUUGCACAUGCAGCGUGCAGUCAGUUACUUUCUCUUACAUGCACUCACACCUCUAAUUAAACAGAAGAUCAUUUCAGCCUUUGGUUAUUUCCUUUUACACAGGGCUUCCAAGCCUACAUUACUUCUGCUCUGUCCAACCUGCAGUUUCACACACCACCAAAGGCAGGAGGAUUAUGCGGGCAACACAUCAUUCUCCAGCAAUACUGGUCUUGUUUGGCAGCCCCUGUGCGAUCCCCAGAUGACUGAGAAGCAUCUCAGUGAUGCUUACAGUGCAACAGAGCGCGUUCAGAUACUACAGACAAUUAGAAAUGCAACCAAAGCACAGGAUUGCCUGGGGAAAGGAGGGGGGAAACAAUCCCAUGGGGCUGUUAACACCUAGAAGCUGUUUAAAACUAUAAAUCAGUCUUAUAAGGGUGU